GCUGCUGGGAGCAAGGUUGAGAGCUGGAACGCCGAGGGGCGGCGAACAAAGAGCCCCGACAGAAGGGUCCCGACUGCGCUCGCCUAAGUUGGGGCCGGCAGAACCCUGACCCUUCCUCUGGGAUACUCUUCGCCUUGGAGUAGGACCCUGAGAAGGGAGAACCGGAUGAGUUCGUGGGUGUGACCCGGGGUGAGGCGUUUGGGGAUGAGCAGUACGGGAUCUUCCGCCUUCUGGGACUCUCCUCCCUAGUGUGUUCGUGUUUGUGUCUGCAGUUUAAAUCAACAAAUAAUUGCCAAGUCCCCUCCUCCUCUGGGACUACCUCAAGAUAUAACAGAUGUUGGAAGACACGAAAGAAAGGUCAAGGUAAUCCAAGAUCACAGGAUUCCUUGAUGGCAUAACUGGAAUUAGAAAACAG
rnacentral:lncRNA from 1 species